CUAGUUCUGGCCUUUUCAGGUUGAGGGCCAGGCAGUAGUUGGCAUGGCUAUCUUUUGCCUCUUCUGCAAGUGAAUGCGUCCUCAUCUUUAGAGUACCCACUGUAUAAAGCAGUGGUGGAGAAGGAACCAAUGUGAGGACGGAGGACCCAGGACACGGUCAUUUCCAGAAAGUCACUGUGUGAAGGGGGCCACCGCACCCCAGGCAGGAAGCUACACUCUCCGUGAAGCUGCUACCAUUUCCCAGAGCUGGACUUCAUAAGGUGGAGCCGCUGGAAGGGUCGAGCUCACAGGGUCAUAGGAUUUACAAGAGUGACAGUCUGAUCAGCAACCUUCAAAAUUCACCCACUAACCAAGCCAGGCACGGUGGUGCACACAUGAAAUCCCAGCCCCUGAGAGGCUGAAGCCAGAGGACUGAUCAUAUGGAUUCCUGGCAGUCAGUGGGAGAACCAUAUUGGAAAAAGGUGGGAUUUGAUAAAUCUGGAAGAAAAUGACCCAUGGUGUCCUUUCCACUUCAAGGAGGAAGCCCCCUGAGUCCCAGGUACUGUGAGUGCCACUGAGCAACUUUUUCAAACUUAGUGCAGUCAAACACAUAAACUCGUGGGUCAUGAAAUCAAAAAAGCAAGCCAGCAACCUAUAUGACUGCUGAGCCUCUGUGUGCUGACAAUGGGGAAUGACAAACACAGCUGCUGAGAAAAUCGAGGUUUACAAGGAGAAGGCAUUUCACUUAAGAUCGCCUUCCUGUUAAGGAUAGCCCAGGU